GACCAGCUACAGACCAGUAGUAACACCCUGACUAAAGAGAGAGACCAGCAACAGAAAGAGAAAGAUGAUGUCAUGUCAAAGUUCUCUAAUCUGAAACAAACCUGUCCUGAAGGCUGACAUAAAGUUUAACUCCAGUUGGGUACUUCCUGUUUACUAGGCUAAAACCUGGGAGGAGAGCAGAAAGGACUGUCUGAGAGAGGAGCAGACCUGGUGAUCAUAAACAGUGAUAUGGAACAGGAGUUUCUCUUUGGUCCUUACUAGAAGGCCUGGAUUGUCUGACUGACUCUGUUACUGAGGGGACCUGGAAAAUGGGGUGGACGGCACCCCACUGACCACCCCAAGGUUUUGGGGGAGUGGACAGCCUAAUGGUGAUGUAGGGGAGAACUGUGCGUUGUUCUCUCGCAGUUCAUCAGACCAAGGAAAAUGGCAUGACUAUCCGUGUUCAACUAACCAUUACGGGAUCUGUGAGAAAUAGUUCUCUCUCUCUAUUAGUUAUGAUGUUGAUUGUCAUGUUGAAAGUCAUGAUACCAGCUACAGGACUUCAGAAAG